rnacentral:rRNA from 1 species
CCUACGGGAGGCAGCAGUGGGGAAUAUUGCACAAUGGGCGAAACCCUGACGCAGCGACGCCGCGUGAGCGAUGAAGUAUUUCGGUAUGUAAAGCUCUAUUAGCAGGGAAGAAAAUGACGGUACGUGACUAGGUAGCACUGGAUAACUAUGUGCCAGCAACCGCGGUAAUACGUACGGGGCAAGAGUUAGACGGAUUUACUGGGUGUAAAGGGAGCGGAGACGGCGGUGCAAGCCAGAUGUGAAAGGCCGGGGCUCAAUCCCGGGAAUGCAUUGGGAACUGUGUCGCUAGAGUGUCGGAGAGGCAGGCGGAAUUCCUAGUGUAGCGGUGAAAUGCGUAGAGAUUAGGAGGAACACCGGUGGCGAAGGCGGCCUGCUGGACGGUAACUGACGUUGAGGCUCGAAAGCGUGGGGAGCAAACAGGAUUAGAUACCCCUGUAGUC